ensembl:lncRNA
GGGAAGUUCACCAGCCCACAGCCUUUUCUAGCGUCGUCCCCUCUUUUAACAGAGGACCAGGAGUGUGGUGUCGUAUUCCAUCAUUUUCCUAGAGCAUACUGCUUUGGUUUUGGGGAUACAGUGUUUUCAAAUGUGAAGGAUUGAAGAUACCACCCUCGGUUUGUAUGUUAAUUUCAGAGAAUGGAAGUUAUACUCGUACCUACCAUGAGGUAUGCUGUGAUUAUCAGACAGAGUGGCACAUCUGAAGUACUUUAAUCAGAAAAUGCUAUAGAAAAUGCUAAAGAAUGGUGAAGGAAGUCUCCUACUCAAGAAUGUGAGAAAUGGCAUCAAUCAUAGGGAUUCACAUGGCAGUGAAAGUUACAGGUAGGGUGUCCCAUUACUCUUUGCUUGAUCCAGUGUGUGAACCUGAGAACUAGCAGCCACAGAUGGAGCCACAAGGACCGCAUGGUAGGCCAGCACAUCCGAAAAGCACAGGGCCCUCUUCUAGCUUUACUGAUGGAAAUGAUGGGAGGCCAUUCACACUCAGGUGCAGUGUGGAGUUGGCUGUCACCGACAGUAUUUCACUAAUAGUUCAGGGGAAAACAAUGGUGAAAUAAAUCAGCCAAAGCCUACUGCUCGACUGCCAGCCCCCACAGUAUUAGGGUUUGCUAGGCAGAAAUGACAAACGUUGACAUUUUUUCAAGUCUACACUGGGAUUUGACUCAGAAUCAAGGUUUGUAACAGGCUGAGAGUGAUUCAUCAGUUCAUCUUUGCAGACAGAGGAGCAGUCUCUUGUUUCCUUGGAAACUUGGACCUGAGCAUAUGUAGCUCCAAGUGCAAACCCUCAUGUUUUCCAUUGAGCAGAUACAGGGUGAGUUUCUCAUGAGAGAUUCAAUAUGCUGUCUUAAGCAGAAGAAUCAAGACUAGGAGAGAAUUGUCAUAUUAAAAUCAGAUACCACAGACAUGGCUGGAUCUCACAAGAUGCAAUAAUUCAGAGGAAGAGAGACAAGAACUCUCAUAAUUUGGCCCUUCUGGGGUAAGCAAUUUCUUUCAUUUGCAUCAUUUAUUUUUCUGAAUUGAAAAGUUGAAUAUGCUUCUUCAAAUAUCUCUUUGAAUACAUUUAAAAUGAUUGAUGUUUACACCACUUACUCUUUGGGGAUCUUCACUAGCUAAAGUCAAGCACUAAGCUGCUAUUUCUGCAUAGCAACAUGUGAAAACCUAGGUAAAUUAAUAAUUGUCCUGGAAUAUUUAUGAUGUACAUGAAGUAAUGCUAGACUUUUUAGAAGAAUUCUUAAAGGUAGGAUAAUCCUUUGUUCCUGAAAUGUUCCCAGUGCUUCUUCCAGCUUGGGGCUUUGAAAUGCCCCAAACUUGACAUUUGCCCUUACCACGUUUAAGAGUGUGUUAGUCGCUCAGUUGUGUCUGACUCUCUGCAACCCCAUGGACUGUAGCCUGUCAGGUUCCUCUGUCCAUGGACUUUUACAGGCAAGAAUACUGGAGUGGGUUGCCAUUUCCUUCUCCAAUAGCACGUUUAAAAUGCCUACCAUUUCCUGCUACUACUAAUCACCCCUUUUGGGUCAUACUGGAUCCUCUCUGUACCUCCUUUCAAAUUUUCAUGUUUUCCCCAUUGUAAAUGAGGAAAUGGAUGAUCUGAGAACUUAAUUUGCCUGUGGCCACAGCAUUUUUUAAAUGGUGAGAAGUAGAACACAGGUCUAUCUGAGUUCAAAACCUGUACCUAUUUCUAUACACCUACUUUAUCUACUAUGAUAUAGCUGAGUAGAAAGAUAGAGUGCUCUGUUUAAUAAGUUUUAUCUUUUAUUAAUAAAACAGUACAGAUAUAUCAUUCAUAAUUUACAAACAGUUCAAAUAUUAGAAGGGGGGCAAGUGAGUGACAAGGAAGUAGGUAAUAUGUAAUGAACAUACUGAGAAUAGUUUUAUUUAUAAAAUCGUUUAGUAAUCCAGAUUUUUAAUUUUCCAACCCCUGCCCUAGUUUAAACAUCCUCCAAAUUAUCCUACAUGUUUUCUUCACUAGUGGCUAUACAAAAGUCUGAUCACAAAACCUAGUCACAAUGGUUUA